rnacentral:tRNA from 1 species
GCCUUCGUGGUAUAAUAGUCAGCACACUCGGCCAGUAUUCGAGAGGUGCGAGGUUCAAGUCCCGGCGAGGGUU